rnacentral:rRNA from 1 species
UACAGAGGGUGCGAGCGUUGUCCGGAAUCACUGGGCGUAAAGGGCGCGUAGGCGGCCUGAUAAGUAGGGGGUGAAAUCCUGUGGCUCAACUGCAGGGCUGCCUCCUAGACUGUCGGGCUUGAGCACGGUAGAGGCAGAUGGAAUUCCCGGUGUAGCGGUGGAAUGCGUAGAGAUCGGGAAGAACAUCGGUGGCGAAGGCGGAUCUCUGGGCCUUACCUGACGCUCAGGUGCGAAAGCUAGGGGAGCGAACAGG